rnacentral:rRNA from 1 species
AUUGAACGCUGGCGGCAGGCCUAACACAUGCAAGUCGAGCGGAUGAAGGGAGCUUGCUCCUGGAUUCAGCGGCGGACGGGUGAGUAAUGCCUAGGAAUCUGCCUGGUAGUGGGGGAUAACGUCCGGAAACGGGCGCUAAUACCGCAUACGUCCUGAGGGAGAAAGUGGGGGAUCUUCGGACCUCACGCUAUCAGAUGAGCCUAGGUCGGAUUAGCUAGUUGGUGGGGUAAAGGCCUACCAAGGCGACGAUCCGUAACUGGUCUGAGAGGAUGAUCAGUCAAACUGGAACUGAGACACGGUCAGGACUCUUAGGGAGGGCGGAGGGGGGAAAUAUUGGACAAUGGGGGAAGGCUGAUCCAGCCAUGCCGCGUGUGUGAAGAAGGUCUUCGGAUUGUAAAGCACUUUAAGUUGGGAGGAAGGGCAGUAAGUUAAUACCUUGCUGUUUUGACGUUACCAGCAGAAUAAGCACCGGCUAACUUCGUG